ACUCUCGAGCUGUAAACUCAUCAGUUAUAUUCUUGCUUGUCUUGAGGUCAGAUUAUGAUCUGCUUAUUACAUCUCUCACCACUAGAUUUGAGCUCAUGACGUUUCAAGAGGUAUAUAGUCACCUCCUAAGUUUUGAAC